GAUGAACGCUGGCGGCGUGCCUAAUACAUGCAAGUAGAACGCUGAAGGAAGGAGCUUGCUCUUUCCGGAUGAGUUGCGAACGGGUGAGUAACGCGUAGGUAACCUGCCUGGUAGCGGGGGAUAACUAUUGGAAACGAUAGCUAAUACCGCAUAACAGUAGAUGUUGCAUGAUAUCUACUUAAAAGGUGCAAUUGCACCACUACCAGAUGGACCUGCGUUGUAUUAGCUAGUUGGUGAGGUAACGGCUCACCAAGGCGACGAUACAUAGCCGACCUGAGAGGGUGAUCGGCCACACUGGGACUGAGACACGGCCCAGACUCCUACGGGAGGCAGCAGUAGGGAAUCUUCGGCAAUGGACGGAAGUCUGACCGAGCAACGCCGCGUGAGUGAAGAAGGGUUUCGGAUCGUAAAGCUCUGUUGUAAGAGAAGAACGAGGGUGAGAGUGGAAAGUUCACACUGUGACGGUAUCUUACCAGAAAGGGACGGCUAACUACGUG
rnacentral:rRNA from 1 species